rnacentral:rRNA from 1 species
AACGAACGCUGGCGGCAUGCCUAACACAUGCAAGUCGAACGAGACCUUCGGGUCUAGUGGCGCACGGGUGCGUAACGCGUGGGAACCUGCCCUUAGGUUCGGAAUAACUCCCCGAAAGGGGUGCUAAUACCGGAUAAUGUCUUCGGACCAAAGAUUUAUCGCCUUUGGAUGGGCCCGCGUUGGAUUAGCUAGUUGGUAAGGUAAAAGCCUACCAAGGCAACGAUCCAUAGCUGGUCUGAGAGGGUGAUCAGCCACACUGGGACUGAGACACGGCCCAGACUGCUACGAGAGGAAGAAGUAGGGAAUAUUCCGGAAUGGGCGAAAGCGUGACGGAGCAAAGCGGCGUGAGUGAUGAAGGUCUUAGGAUCGGAAAACUAUGUUAUUAGGAAGGAACAAAUGUGUAAGUAACGAUGAAGGUCUUGACGGUACCGAAACAGAAAGCCACGGCUAACUACGGG